GUGACCGGAUGACUGCUUUUGGACAGUCUCUGGCCUGUCCUGCAGCAGCUGAGAAGGGAACGAGGCCAGGCUGUGUGCUCCACGCUGGGCUGCAUGGAAGCCCUGGCUCCUGGGAAAUGGGGACUUUCCUUCCUAGGGGGCUGUUUCCUUUCAGGAAGAGUGAGAGAGACGGCUUCCAUCCUAUGGUAGAUGGAAGAGCUGUAUUGCUGUAUCAUUUUGGAGGACGGGGGAUUAAAGCAGAUAAAGAAAAGGGUGGGCUCAUGACUUUUAUGGGAGGAAUGAAGGCUUGUCUUGGUACACGAUAGAGUUCUACGGUCCCUGGAGGCUUUCAAAGGCCUCCAGUGUGUGUUUUCAAGGCUGGGAAAGAGUUAAUGGGAGAAACCAGGGCCUGGUUUGUCUGUUUGCUCAGGCCCCAGCUUAUCUAGCCAGCCAGUUGCUGCAGGGUUGUAACUUUUAGAAGUUUCAUUCUCUUCCCACUGGCUGAGAGUUUCAGAAAACCCCCUGCUUAAGUAAUCAUUAUAAUCCUUUCAAAUUCCUUAGAGGCCAAGGCUUUCAGUGUUCCCAUUUGAGUUCUGUAAAACAACAACAACAACAACAGCAACAACAACAACAACAACAACACCAUGGAGAAAGAAGACAGGGAGCCAAGGCAGCGGUAAUGGGGAGCAGCGCCACACGUCUCCCUGGAAACUUGCCUCCUUGUGGAUUCCCAGAUCCGCUUCCGAAGUGUGGCCACGAGUUGGUGAGUUGCUAAGAAGCGGUACUGCCAGCCUGGAUGGUAGCCAGGCUGGCAAGAUCAAAGAGAAGCCAGGGUCUCACUAUAAAACAGCGGUGGUGAACCCAUGACACGCGCCAUUGUGGGCAUGCGGUCUCCUCUCUGUCAGCUUGCAAGGAUCAAUUUUUCUGCGAUCCCCUUUGUUGGGAGGUGCGGUACCAACUGCAGUGUCAACUAUCAGAAACGAAGAAGUUGCUCCUGUCACAACCCUUCCGGGGGGAAGGCAAUGGAUACCAGGGAGAGGGGGCUCCCCUCCAUUUCUGCUCCUCCUCCUGAGACAGCCUACGACAUAUUCUUCUUUCCCUCCUUCGAGGUAUGUGCUUUAUUUUAUACCACCUACUUUGGUUUGGUUUUGUUUGGUGGCACUGGGGACGAAACUCAGGCCCCUCUCACACGACGCACUCCACCACUGAGCUGUGUCCCAGCCUUUGCA
rnacentral:lncRNA from 1 species